rnacentral:lncRNA from 1 species
UUUUUCCUCCUUGGGCGUCUGAAGGCAAGAUGGGUCACCAGCAGCUCUAUUGGAGUCACCCGCGGAAGUUCGGCCAGGGUUCUCGCUCUUGCCGCGUCUGCUCUAACCGCCACGGUCUGAUCCGUAAAUACGGGCUGAACAUGUGCCGACAGUGCUUCCGUCAGUACGCGAAGGACAUAGGCUUCAUUAAGUUGGACUAAGCGACCUGAAUGGAUGAUUCGACUGUCUACCCAGUGAAACCAACUGUCUACCCUGUGAUACCAAUCAUGCUAGUCUUUGUGCACACAGAAUAAAAAACUGAAGGCCAAAAAAAAAAAAAAAAAAAAAAGACUGACAA